rnacentral:rRNA from 1 species
CACGUAGGGCGCAAGCGUUGUCCGGAAUUAUUGGGCGUAAAGAGCUCGUAGGCGGUCUGUCGCGUCGGCUGUGAAAACCCGGGGCUCAACCCCGGGCCUGCAGUCGAUACGGGCAGACUAGAGUGUGGUAGGGGAGACUGGAAUUCCUGGUGUAGCGGUGAAAUGCGCAGAUAUCAGGAGGAACACCGGUGGCGAAGGCGGGUCUCUGGGCCAUAACUGACGCUGAGGAGCGAAAGCGUGGGGAGCGAACAGG